GAUUGGAGACUGAAAAGAAGAGAAGUUAAGGAACUUGUCUAAGAUUAUCAAGCAAAAAUUUAAAGCUGAAGUUUCAAUAUUUUCUCAGAAAACAAGAAAAGUUAGUGAUCUCAUUAUAGAGGGACUAAAAGCCUGCAAAGUAUAUUUUUGUUAACUCCAAAGGACAGACUUUCAGGGCAGUUUACCAGGAGACAGCUUUUACAAUGAGUGCACUGGCAAGAGGAAGGAAAGAGACUGUUACAGUGGCUUCAGCAGAGUCAGUGGUUGUGUCAACAGCAUCUGGAGCAGAGAGGGCAAGCUUAGUUCAUAUGAAGCAGCAAUAGCAACAGAAGAAAAGGCAGUGACAUCACCCUCAGCUUGUUGGAAUUGGAAUGUGAGUUUGUUAAUCUAUUUGUCAUCUGAAAGUUGUGACUUUUUUGCCAGUGAAUAAUGGGCUAUUUCUGUUUCAUGUCAGCAAAUGCAAAACUGUACAUCAACUGGAUUAAAUUAAAGGAGCCUAUGGGCCAGCUAAUGAAAAAUACAGGAGUCUGAAUAGCAGGGGAAAGCUCUGGGUGUCAGCAAUAUAUUCAAGUAGAGAUAAACAGAAGAAGAUGUGAAGAAGUCAAUGAUAGGGUAGUAGUUCUGAACUUACCUGGUGACUAUGC
rnacentral:lncRNA from 1 species